UACGAAGGGGGCUAGCGUUGCUCGGAAUCACUGGGCGUAAAGCGCACGUAGGCGGCUUCUAAGUCAGGGGUGAAAUCCUGGAGCUCAACUCCAGAACUGCCUUUGAUACUGGAGCUAGAGUCCGGAAGAGGUGAGUGGAACUGCGAGUGUAGAGGUGAAUUCGAUAGAUAUUCGCAAGAACACCAGUGGCGAAGGCGGCUCACUGGUCCGGUACUGACGCUGAGGUGCGAAAGCGUGGGGAG
rnacentral:rRNA from 1 species